rnacentral:rRNA from 1 species
AACGACUCUCGGCAACGGAUAUCUCGGCUCUCGCAUCGAUGAAGAACGUAGCGAAAUGCGAUACUUGGUGUGAAUUGCAGAAUCCCGUGAACCAUCGAGUCUUUGAACGCAAGUUGCGCCCGAAGCCAUUAGGCCAGGGCACGUCUGGCUGGGUGUCACACAGCG